ensembl:lncRNA
GCGGGGCGCGGAGGGCCGUCCCCGUUCCCUCCGGGUCCUCCGCGCACCGCGGCUCCCGGCAGCGCGAGGGCGGCCGGCCAGAGCGGUUUCAAACUUAGAAAACUGCGCUCUGAUCGCGGGAACGUACAGACUCGUGCCGCCUCGAGUCCGAUUCUCGGAGCAGGUGUCAGGCGCCCGGCUACUGCUGUGCUGUGGGCACGGCCCGUGACGGUUCUGACGAGCAGCUGGGUAGAGCUCCGGGGGCUGCAGCCACCGAGCUCAGUAACUUCCUUUAAAAGCAACAUAAACAGCACAAAAUUAGACUGUUUUGUGGAAGCAGAAAUGCUUGGUAGUGGUAGGACUCUGUGCGCUUGCCUAGCAUGCCAUUGCAAGGACAAUCAGCAUGGAAAACCAGGACUUUGAGCUCUGCAUCUCUGCUUGAUCUUGACUUGCUGGUUGAUACCAGGAGCUGCUUCCCAGAUCCUCUUGAUUCGGUUCGAGAAGUUAGAAUUACCUGUAAUCAUUGGUAAACCAAAAGUCCCGAAUGGAGAACAAUGACAGGCGCCCACCGAGAAGAGCUACUGAUGACUGAGUUUAAGACAAGCUAGUGCUGAGAGAAUACCUUCAUCAUUUCAAAAACAUCCAGCUCCCACCUGUGCUUUGGGAUGUGAAAGAAUGACGUUGGCAGGUAGAGGCCUCAAGUUCCUCUCGGAUGCAUCUGGACCAUUUUAUUAGGGAGUCCACUGAGCCUGUGAUCAGCCUGAGUGCAGCUGAUGGUGAGCAGCGCCAAGGUGUGGUACUGAGCUGCUGAUCAAAUUGGUGUAUUUCAGAAGACCUGAAAAAAUUAGAUGAUUGAAACAUCACUCGUAAGCCACAGCUUCACCAUGAGGACUUUAGGAAAAGCAUGGCUGCACAGAGUACCUUCACCAGCAAUCUUCCAGGCUCCGACAAAACUAUUGUUCUUGAAGACCAGAAAGAUUGUUAUUGAGCUUUCCACAAAGCUGAAAUAAUGCUGUGUGUUAAAAAAAUGUUAACAAUUUGAAGAAGUUAUAAAAAUUUAUAAGUUGACUGAAUACUUUGGAAAUUUCUGCAUAUUUUAAUAUAAAUAGAAAAUCAAAGAAAUCGUGGAAGAUGGAGGAGUUAUUUCAGAUGCAUUUGGUGCAGUGAUGAGCUCAAACUUUAUUCGAAACUAUUAUGGUAAAAUAGAACAAGAAGAUACAAAAGAGAGAAAGAAGGAAUAGAAAGUGGUGGAAGGGAAGGGCCUCUGGACUGGUUCUCCUGCUCUGCAGCACAGUUACUUGCCUUUCUCGUUGAGGCUCUUGGUCAUCCCAUCUACCACGGUCAAGAAGACUGCCACAUACAGAUAUGGUGAUCAGCAGGGCAGAAAGGACUCCCAAGUACGUGGUGGAGCAAGGAGAGCUGUGCUCUUUUUACAGUAUGUCUGGUCCAGUUUGAAUGCCCUGUCCUGGAGUGGGAAGCAAGUUCUGCACUGUAUGUGGAUGAAGUUAAUCAGUUUGCAGUAACAAAGUGUUGGAAGGGACUUCAAGAGCUUAUCUAUACAGAGCUGGCCAGCCUGUGCCUUGGAGGCCUGCUGGGGAGAGGUGACAUUCAAGUGAUGAAGAAAUAGGAGUCUGCACCAUUCGUCAGCCUAGCGAGAAGGCGGCUCUAUGCUCACUUUGAAAGAGGGCAGUGCAAAAGUUACCUAGCGAUGUGAGUACUCUGGGCACGGCGGAGGAGCUUCCCACUGAAUGCGGCACAGCGGCACAGCUGCUGAGGAGAGCAUGGCAACAGCAAGAAAUGGAAUUCACUGAAGAAAGCGCUUGACAAGCCAUGUGAGAACCAGCGUGAGCAGCCAGUGGGCACAGCCCCAUCUUCUUGGAAAUUCCAGCAAGAAGAUUAUCAACUACUUUUUCUCCUCGCAUCCCGGUUUACAGAAUGGUUUGUUGUACACAUGCCUUUGUGAAGUCAGCAGGAGCUCAAAAAUCGGUUGGUUUGUUGGUUGUACCUGGAACUAUUCAGCUCUUUGGAGAUGGUGCUGUGGGCUCCCUUUUUGCGGGGCUCCGACCUGCUGAAAUUGAAGAGGGUUAAGUCUUUGCUCACAUUUAGGUCUGGACCAGACUCCAGUCUACCUUCCUGUUAGAUACCAGCACUGCUGCCCUCUCCACAGCUCUGCCUGACACUGCCUCUCUUGGUAACCUCACCAGUAGUCACCAAACUUGCAUGUGCUCUCUGCUCCCCUGGUUUACCCAACCCUGCUUGCUUCCCUUCCUUGCCACCUCUCAUCACAAAUAACAUUGAUGCACAGCAGUGAAUAAACACUUCUUUAUAGAGAAAAAUAAAACUGUCUCUGAUGUGCCAUCCGUUGCCUGAUGGGUUUGCUGAUCUGUUGCCAAUUCUUUUCAUUUCUUAG